rnacentral:rRNA from 1 species
UUUUGGAAAAGAAAAAUCGUAACAAGGUUUCCGUAGGUGAACCUGCGGAAGGAUCAUUA